ACUGAAUCCAUAGGUUAAUGAGGCGAACCGGGGGAACUGAAACAUCUAAGUACCCCGAGGAAAAGAAAUCAACCGAGAUUCCCCCAGUAGCGGCGAGCGAACGGGGAGCAGCCCAGAGCCUGAAUCAGUGUGUGUGUUAGUGGAAGCGUCUGGAAAGGCGCGCGAUACAGGGUGACAGCCCCGUACACAAAAAUGCACAUACUGUGAGCUCGAUGAGUAGGGCGGGACACGUGGUAUCCUGUCUGAAUAUGGGGGGACCAUCCUCCAAGGCUAAAUACUCCUGACUGACCGAUAGUGAACCAGUACCGUGAGGGAAAGGCGAAAAGAACCCCGGCGAGGGGAGUGAAAAAGAACCUGAAACCGUGUACGUACAAGCAGUGGGAGCACGCUUAGGCGUGUGACUGCGUACCUUUUGUAUAAUGGGUCAGCGACUUAUAUUCUGUAGCAAGGUUAACCGAAUAGGGGAGCCGAAGGGAAACCGAGUCUUAACUGGGCGUUAAGUUGCAGGGUAUAGACCCGAAACCCGGUGAUCUAGCCAUGGGCAGGUUGAAGGUUGGGUAACACUAACUGGAGGACCGAACCGACUAAUGUUGAAAAAUUAGCGGAUGACUUGUGGCUGGGGGUGAAAGGCCAAUCAAACCGGGAGAUAGCUGGUUCUCCCCGAAAGCUAUUUAGGUAGCGCCUCGUGAAUUCAUCUCCGGGGGUAGAGCACUGUUUCGGCAAGGGGGUCAUCCCGACUUACCAACCCGAUGCAAACUGCGAAUACCGGAGAAUGUUAUCACGGGAGACACACGGCGGGUGCUAACGUCCGUCGUGAAGAGGGAAACAACCCAGACCGCCAGCUAAGGUCCCAAAGUCAUGGUUAAGUGGGAAACGAUGUGGGAAGGCCCAGACAGCCAGGAUGUUGGCUUAGAAGCAGCCAUCAUUUAAAGAAAGCGUAAUAGCUCACUGGUCGAGUCGGCCUGCGCGGAAGAUGUAACGGGGCUAAACCAUGCACCGAAGCUGCGGCAGCGACACUAUGUGUUGUUGGGUAGGGGAGCGUUCUGUAAGCCUGUGAAGGUGUACUGUGAGGUAUGCUGGAGGUAUCAGAAGUGCGAAUGCUGACAUAAGUAACGAUAAAGCGGGUGAAAAGCCCGCUCGCCGGAAGACCAAGGGUUCCUGUCCAACGUUAAUCGGGGCAGGGUGAGUCGACCCCUAAGGCGAGGCCGAAAGGCGUAGUCGAUGGGAAACAGGUUAAUAUUCCUGUACUUGGUGUUACUGCGAAGGGGGGACGGAGAAGGCUAUGUUGGCCGGGCGACGGUUGUCCCGGUUUAAGCGUGUAGGCUGGUUUUCCAGGCAAAUCCGGAAAAUCAAGGCUGAGGCGUGAUGACGAGGCACUACGGUGCUGAAGCAACAAAUGCCCUGCUUCCAGGAAAAGCCUCUAAGCAUCAGGUAACAUCAAAUCGUACCCCAAACCGACACAGGUGGUCAGGUAGAGAAUACCAAGGCGCUUGAGAGAACUCGGGUGAAGGAACUAGGCAAAAUGGUGCCGUAACUUCGGGAGAAGGCACGCUGAUAUGUAGGUGAAGUCCCUCGCGGAUGGAGCUGAAAUCAGUCGAAGAUACCAGCUGGCUGCAACUGUUUAUUAAAAACACAGCACUGUGCAAACACGAAAGUGGACGUAUACGGUGUGACGCCUGCCCGGUGCCGGAAGGUUAAUUGAUGGGGUUAGCGCAAGCGAAGCUCUUGAUCGAAGCCCCGGUAAACGGCGGCCGUAACUAUAACGGUCCUAAGGUAGCGAAAUUCCUUGUCGGGUAAGUUCCGACCUGCACGAAUGGCGUAAUGAUGGCCAGGCUGUCUCCACCCGAGACUCAGUGAAAUUGAACUCGCUGUGAAGAUGCAGUGUACCCGCGGCAAGACGGAAAGACCCCGUGAACCUUUACUAUAGCUUGACACUGAACAUUGAGCCUUGAUGUGUAGGAUAGGUGGGAGGCUUUGAAGUGUGGACGCCAGUCUGCAUGGAGCCGACCUUGAAAUACCACCCUUUAAUGUUUGAUGUUCUAACGUUGACCCGUGAUCCGGGUUGCGGACAGUGUCUGGUGGGUAGUUUGACUGGGGCGGUCUCCUCCUAAAGAGUAACGGAG
rnacentral:rRNA from 1 species